GCCUUAGGGCAAGGGUGUGCUUACGAACCGUGUCAGGUCCGGAAGGAAGCAGCACUAAGUUUGAUAUGCCUUGUGUCCUAAGUUUGG
rnacentral:SRP_RNA from 1 species